rnacentral:rRNA from 1 species
AUGGAUCAGAGAGGAUGGAUGAUGCAGUGGCCACAUCAAGCGCCCUAUGCUCGACGACAAUGGAAAUGCAGUUUCUCAGAGCUAGCAGGAAGGAGGCUGAUGGCUUCCCGUUGUAGUAACGCGAUGGAGAAGAGACAAGACACCAGCACCCCAUACCAUCGUGUUUCUUCAGCCUGCAAGGUGAUUAGCAGUCAGCAAAUUAUUGGAAAGAUGUUGCUUCAUAAAGCAUUUGGAGAGGUGCAUCUUGUUGGAGAGGUCUGGUCAGCGCCUCCUCUCAUCUCUCUACCUGGGAUGCCCUGGCCUCUCCUUUCUCUGUGUGCAAGUGAUGGUAGCGGGGGAUCCAGGGAACGCGGGCCGGUGGCCGACGGGAAUGGGGACCAGUGGCAGCAGGGAAUGAGAUCUGGUCGCGGGCUACUCCUCUCUCUCUCUCUCCCCCCAGUGCUGGUGCGCCGAUGCAGUACCAAGUCAAGGCUUGUAAACAACUACAAUGAUAUUACACAUCACUUUCUGUACUACAUUUAUGUGCAUUCGGAUCUCGCCAAGGCUAAGCAUAUAUGCCGCAUGUGUCAGACUCAUGGGGGUCAAACAGAUGAGGAGAAGGAAGCAGCAAGGAAGAAGCUUCUGCUGGAGGACAUCACCUGCGGCAUCACCUGCAUCGACCUCUCGCUGAUUACCAUCCCAAGGAUGCGCGACCGACUGGCGGAGCAGGGCACCAGUGAUAAGUUCACCGAUUUGGUCGACUCACCGUUCCCUUCCUCUGUCCACGCAAUGCCGCUCGUUGUUGUUAGCUCAAUCCUUGUUUUUCUCAACAUUGACAAGUGGAAGCUAACUGUUUCUUUAUACAGAAUUAGCCUGCACCAUUUUUGUGCUUCCACCUUCCAAACUACAAGGUCUGCAACCUUAGAUGAACAACUACAGCUAUAUUUGCCCAAGGAUGAUUUGAUUGUGCAAGGAAUCCAAAGCGAUGCAUAA